rnacentral:rRNA from 1 species
AUUCCAGCUCCAAUAGCGUAUAUUUAAGUUGUUGCAGUUAAAAAGCUCGUAGUUGGAUUUCGGGCCCAGGUGACCGGUCCGCCGUUUCGGUGUGCACUGGUUAGCUCGGUCUUUCUGCCGGGGACACGCUCCGUCUUAAUUGCCGGACGUGGAGUCGGCGAUGUUACUUUGAAAAAAUUAGAGUGUUCAAAGCAGGCUUACGCUCUGAAUACUAUAGCAUGGAAUAACACGAUAGGACUCCGGGCCUAUUUUGUUGGUCUUCGGGACCGGAGUAAUGAUUAAGAGGGACAGUUGGGGGCAUUCGUAUUACGGUGUCAGAGGUGAAAUUCUUGGAUUUCCGUAAGACGAACUUCUGCGAAAGCAUUUGCCAAGGAUGUUUUCAUCA